rnacentral:rRNA from 1 species
UACGUAGGCAGCAAGCGUUGUUCGGAGUUACUGGGCGUAAAGGGUGUGUAGGCGGUUCCUUAAGUUUGCUGUGAAAUCUCCCGGCUUAACCGGGAGGGUGCGGUGAAUACUGAGGGACUAGAGUACGGGAGAGGAAAGUGGAAUUCCUGGUGUAGCGGUGAAAUGCGUAGAUAUCAGGAGGAACACCGAUGGCGAAGGCAGCUCACUGGGACGGUACUGACGCUGAGGCGCGAAAGCGUGGGGAGCAAACAGG